GGAGUUGGCCAGACUGUCGCGGCAGCAUCCGCUGUCGAGGAAAGUCCGGGCUCCGUAGGGCAGGACGCUGGGUAACGCCCAGGGGGAGCGAUCCCCGUCAAGUGCAACAGAGAGUAGACCGCCUCCGGGCUUCGGCCCGGCGGUAAGGGUGAAAGGGUGGGGUAAGAGCCCACCGGCUGUCGCGGCGACGCGGCAGGCCAGGUGAACUCCGUCCGGAGCAAGACCAAAUAGGGUAGCGUGGUAGGCCGGCCCGGCCGAGCUAUCGGGUAGGUUGCUAGAGGCGUCUGGUAACAGCCGUCCCAGAUGAAUGACAGUCGCCCCGCAAGGGGAACAAGACCCGGCUUACGGCCAACUCCUGUU
rnacentral:RNase_P_RNA from 1 species